rnacentral:sRNA from 1 species
AUGAAAUGGUAAUCCACCUCAACAUGUUUUGUUCUGGCAUGAAAAACAGGAUUGGAUGCCAAUGCCAGUGCUGAUACACCAGACAAGGAGUAUCCAAGUAAAUAUAAAAAAUUAGUUAGUGUUUUGGUUUGAUGAUACACCAAAAGUCAUAGGUUGAAAAAAAAAAAAAAAAAAAAUAUAUAUAUAUAUAGUUUGAUGAUACACCAAAAGUCAUAGGUUGAAAAAAAAAAAAAUAUAUAUAUAUAUAUAUAUAUGGUUUGGGUUUAAGUUGGUGUAACUCUAACUAAUGUUAUACCACCUAAUAACUUGUUAUAGAGUUCAUAUUUUGAACAUUUCACCGUUGAAUUAUAUGUUUUAUAUGUUUUUAACAUUUUUGCCAAUUUUCAUGUCAAUUGGAUGUUAUUUACUAUUUAAUCCAUAAAUUCAUUUUUUAUACAUUAUUUUAAAUUAAAAAAUUUUGAAUUUAAAUAAUUGAUUAAUGACAUGGCUAUUAAUUUUUUAUCACCAUGAAAAUUUUCAAGCAUGGAGAAUAUACGAAGAUAAUGCAAUUUAACAGUGGAUUUGUCAAAAUUCACAUCAAAUUAAAAAAUAUUGAGUGGUGUAACGUUAUUUAGAAUUAUACCAGGUAUAACUUGAACUCAACCAUAUAUAUAUAUAUAUAUAUAAAAUUUGAAAACUAGGAAAAUUUUGUGAUGAUCCAACCCGAAAGGGACAUCCCCUUUAUAGGCAAAAUAAAACACUAUUUAAACAGUGAAUAGUAAACAGUAAAAUUGACUUUUUAACUAUUUAUUGUAGGUCAGCAAGAUUGUCAGCAUGUGCUGUCCAAAAAGAAUCAUAUAUAUAUAUAUAUAUACACUCAUUGAUGUGACUUUUUAUUUAUGGUAAAAUUACAAUUUACAAAUGUUGGUUAUUCUACUCAAACACUAAGAGGCUGUUUGGCACCACUUUUUUCAUCACUCCAUUUCCGUCACUCAAUUUUCAUCACUCAUCACUCAUAACUCAUCACUCAUCACUCAUCACUCAUCACCCAUCACUCUAAAAUAUAACAUCCGUUUGGCCCUAUCACUCAAAUGCCAUCACUCAACAUUUUUCACACUAUUUGUGGGCCCCAGCUCUGUCACUUGGUUAGAUGCUUCUGUUUUAUUACCCGCGGCUUUGUUUUCAUCCCCAUUAGCCUUCUCUUUUCUCAUUUCCCCUUCCCCCUUCAGCCCUGUCACUCUCCCAAAGCACAAACCCAAACCCAUAAAAAUUUCUUAACCUCCAUUACCACGUCAGGACUGUCACCAGUGAACAACACCCAUCUCUUCGAUGUGUACGGCGGCACGAUCUCCUCCGUCGUGACCCAGCAGUGUUGACGAGCAUAAAUAAAUGUGACUCAUUUCCUGAUUUUGUCACAGACGGUCUCCUCCGACCCAAGACGAUGCUACCUCAUCCCUUUCUGUACUCUCUCACCUUGUUUAUUUAUCUGAUUUGUGUGUUUCGCAUUUGGAUUUUGAAAAAAAUGUUAGGUUUUAGCUUGAACUUUGUUUGCCUCUGUUUUUCCUUGUUGUUUGGUUGGUGAGAAAAUAAUAAAGCCUCUGUUUUUUUGGUUUUGUUUUGUUUUUUUUUUUUGUUUAUAUGAUAUUAUUGUGCUUACCCAUUGCUAGUUUGCUUCAAUGCAUUGAAGUAUGCAAAAGGGUUUGCUUAAAUUCUCCUUUUAAUCUUCAAUAUCUCCCUCUUACUCAGAUGGGUAUUUUUCUUUUUGGCUGCUAUGUACUUAAUAUUUAUUGCUUUUUUUUUUCUUAACUGUGUUAUGGUAUCUGAUAUUGUGAAUCUUGCAUAGGUUGAUAACCGGGGUCCUUUCGGGUCAAAAAGGUCUCGGAAUGAUGGUAAGUUGAACUCAGUAGUUUUCAUUAUUGAUUGUAGUAUUGGUUUUAAGCAUUUAUGUGUGCUAGUGUGGAUUUUUUUGAUGUUUUUGUAUGUAUGUCAUGUUUGAAAAUAUGUUUAGUGCCUGAAAUUGAACACAUUUAGGCCGUUAGACGAUGUGACCAAAAUUUAAAUGGGCAUACCAUCACUUUGUUAGACACAUUAGGGACUACAAGUGAUCACUUUAAGUAUGUUAGGAACUAAAAGAAAUCACAAAAUGAUCACUUUAAACUACGAGGACUAAAAUCAUUCAUGGACUAUAACUUAGGGACCAAUAAUGUAUUUUGGCAUAGUACAAAUUAAAUUAGAAGUAGGUGAGUGCAUUUUCAUGUGUGUUGGAAUCGGUUUAAUGCCUUUGUAAGUUUCAUCAUGUUGUUAUCAGUAUGAGAUGUUGGAUUCUUUUUUAUGUUGUUCCCUGUUUAAUAGGCAUUCUUUUAAGGUAUUUUCUAGGCAGUGUGCAAUUUGGGAUUCACUAUCUAGCCUGGUUCUGUUAUUGGUGUUUUUCUUUGGGAUAAAUUAUGCCUUUCUUAAAGGAAAACCAUUUUGAGAAACGAUGCCGGAGAUUAAUAUAGCAAUUAUGCAAGAGUUGAACUAGAGUUUUUAUUUUGAUAUAGAUGAUGAUUCUAUCUUGAUUGACUAAAGAUAGCAGACACUAGAGGUUUUAACUUUUAAUUAGUUGAUUUGACCUUAUAUUCUAGAACAAUGGGUAGGUGCUCAAAGUAAUUCAUAUGGUUUUUCUCACUUUGUAACUGGGUCUGACUAGUAAUGAGUUUCCCAUCAUAAAUUAAUAGCUUUAUUCACAUUUCAUAGGUGGUUCUUUUUCAUCUUUUACAGACUCAAAAAAGUAUGUGAGGUUCCUGUGUUCAAAAGGUUUAAAAUUGAAAUUACCUAUUUACCAGUUUGGACCAGUUUACUACAGUAAACACUGCCAUUCAUUGGUUAUAGCAUUCUUUGAGGGACCGAUUUCAUUAUCUAUCCCUUAACAGCUGUCUGUUAUCAUGUAAUCUGUCUUUUCCAAUUCAGUUGUUUGAAAUUAUCAUGCUUACCUAUGCUAGCUUCACUAUGUUCUUGUUGAGCCAAAUUACCGGGCAUGUCACCAUUUUUUAAUUAUUGAUUUCGGUCCAAAUUGGUCUAUUCAGUCCAGUUUAGUCUAUUUCAGUCUAUUGAGGUCUAGUUCGGACCAAUUCAGUCCCAGUCAAUCUAUUUUUAGUCCAUUUAGUCUAUUUCCAUCCAUUUCAGUGCACUUAUUUAAUAAUGGAAAAAUACAUGUUUGUGAUGAAAUUACCUAUUCUAAAUUUGAAUAUAUUAAGCCUUCAAUUUUUUUUUUUGAAUGUAUUAAAAAAAGAUAGAUGACAAAAAGUAAUAAUAUUAUUUUUAAUUGUUUAAUUUAAUGAUUUGUGAUUUUUUUUACCAUACUACAAAAGCAAGUAUUUGAUCACUGGACUUUUCUAACCAUUAAAAAAAUAUUAAUUCUUUGUUCUCUUUUUCUUUGACCGUGAGAAAGUACAUGCAUACAUGUCAAGGAUGGACUCAAGCAUAUUUUGAGGUAGUUUUGCAAUUUUACUUCUCUGUAAUCCCUAAUUUCUUCCAUCGGGGAGUAGUUAAACGCUUUGAAGUAGACUAAGAUCUAGCAAUGGGGAAGUUUGUAUCUUUAGUAGCAUGCCUACUUUCCCUCAGUUAAUAACCAGAGAGGAAAAUAUUACUUUGUGAACAAAUUAAGGGAAAUAAAGGUCAAAUGCGAAAUUUGGGUUUAGAGUUCUUUUUACUGCUGAAAUUUGAAACUGUAGAGUCAAAUGAUUGCCUUUAGUAGACAAAUUUCUAAUGCCUUUGUUGUGAUUGUUAUGAGUGUAAUACUGAUCACUAAUAAUUUUCCAGAAUAAUCUGUCGAAAUUAAUGGCUAAAUUUAAAUGGCUUAGGACCAGUUCUGUUGUCGUGGAUUAGUGCCAUGCUCUUUACAAGUACUUUUGAUGCUUCAGCAGGCUUAGAAAUCCUCUGCUUUCCUGUCUUGUGAAGUUAUGGGGCACCAUUUGUUGAUUAAAUUACAUUACUGCAUUCCUGAUAAGUGAUAAAAUGGUUUACAUUCAGUAUGGACGUAUUAACAUCACUAAUUAGCCCAAAUGGGUUUUCAGUUUCUACAACUCAUAACUCAAAAAUCAGAUAAUUAAGUGUUAAAAACAGAGUUAUGGAAAUAGAGAAAUUGUGCAGCCAAACAGACUUUUUAUCAUGGGUUUCACAAUUUUUUAGAAUUGAAUUAUGAAAACAGGCUAUCCAAACAGCCUCUAAACAGUCUAGAGAGCCUAGUCUUCCAAAACUUUUCGAAACCAAUUUGAAUUUCUCACCAAACCCCAGAAAUUUAACAGAAAAGAAACGUUUCAAGUUUUAACUAUGUCCAAAACUCCAAAUCAAAGCAAAGCCAAACUAUCCAACAGAUCCAAUCAAAGAGUUCUCAUUUCUCACCAAAUCACAACAAAUUAAAAACCAUUCAUUGAAAACCACACCUCUUCGAUGCCAAUCCAAUACCAAUGGCGGGUCAGCGACAUUGACCAAAAAGAAUAAAAAAAGGAGAGGAUGGGCACCAAAAUGAUGCUACUAUAAUCUCAUUGAAGUGGUGACUGACUGACUGGUGAAGACUUUCAGUCAAUAUGGGUAUUUGCACGGUAAAGUAAAAGAAGAAGAAAGAAAAUUACAAGUUAAACUCAAUAAACACAUUUGACCAAAAGAAGUUAAGUAACUAGCGCUUAUCUAUUUAUUCUACGCUAGUUUGGGUGGCACGGGCAAAACACGUGCUGUUCUUUUGAGCGAAAAAAAAAAUUAAGAAAGAAUUUUUAUUUGAAGGAGAAUAAAAUCAUGUACUUAAACCUCUAUUUUCAACCGCCGAUGGAAAACUUACAUCUCAAUAGUUGAGGAAAAUAUUAUGAUAACAACAAAAUAUCACGACAUUUUUACAAUACAAUACAUUUAUUUUUAUAUUUUAUUAUUUUAUUUUAUUUUAGUUUGACCCAUAAAGAAUUGAUACAUGUGUCACAACAUUUUCACAAUAUCUCUACAUUUACAAUGUACUCACAAUGUAAAUUUAUAUUGUAAAUACACAAAAAUUAGCAAAUGUUGUACACAUUUGCAAAAUUUGUAAAAUAUUUAUCAUUUUUUUUUCUUUUGCAAAUGUGUAUAAUAUUUGCCAUUUUUUAUUUGUGUGUCUAUUGCAAAUGUGUAUAAUAUUUACCUUUUUUUUUGCGUGUCUACAUUCUACAAUGUAAGCUUAUAUUUUAAGUACAAAAUUAACAUAUAAAAAUCAUUAAAAAAGAAAACAAAACAAAAACAAGCUUAAACCUACUGGUGUAUUUGAAGAAAAAACCUAACUGUCAUACUUGAAGAAAAAAGGAAGAAAAGAAAAAGAGCUGCUCACCAAUUCUCUUUAUUUUAAGACUUUUAGGUAAUAGUGCUAAUAACUAAUAAGUGUUACGUUACAACAUUUCUAUAAUACUUUUAUAACAAAGGUAAGUUAUUAAUGAUUCUAAUUUGAACUCACUAUUAAAAUUAUUUUUUCCCCACUAAUAACAGUCAAUAAUAACUUACUACUUAGAAUUUAUUAUGAAAACGUUGUCACCAUAACAUUUUUUUAAUAUUAAAAUUUUUUCUUUCUUACUCAAACUCAUAGUUUUCGCUUGUUACAAAAGACAAAAAAGUUGAACAAACCAAAAUUACUGUAGAUAGAGCAUUGGCUCUCUUUUCUUUUUCUUUUUCUUUUUUUUUUUUAUUUUUUUUUUUUUUUUUUUUUUUUUUUUUUGAUUUUGAGAAACCAGACCUGAGGUUCAAUAUUAUUGCAAGAUGGGGAAGAAAAAAAUUACGAGUCACGAGUGACUAGAGGAGCUAUAUCAGCAGGUGAUGUUCCAAUCCAUACCUGCAGGUCGUCGCUAAAGACAACUUUUUUUGGCUAAGAAAUGGGCAGUGGUAUUGCCUAUACGUUUAACAUGAGGAAAAUUACAAGAAACGAAACCAGCAACGAACAUAAGGACAUCUUGAAUUACAUGACCAUACUUUGGAUUCAUAGAUUCUCUAGCAACAAUUGUCUUUGUAUUAACCUUAAUGUCACCUUCCACAGAGCACUCUAGUAUACCCAGCUCUUUAGCGAAGAGAAGAGCCCUUCUACAAGCCAGAGAUUCAACUACUGUAGGGGAUGAGGGAAAAGAAACUCUUUCGACAUAG